rfam:Broad bean mottle virus RNA 3/RNA 4, 3' end.
AAGAUAUCUGUACCGUCUUCUCCCCGACGGUUUCAAUCCAUAGCUUCACGUUGUGUAGCGUAGGUGGAAGGUAUCGUGUGGUGUAUAAACACCACAUAGUCUCUUAGGGGAGACCA